rnacentral:rRNA from 1 species
CGAAUGCUGACAUAAGUAACGAUAAAGCGGGUGAAAAGCCCGCUCGCCGGAAGACCAAGGGUUCCUGUCCAACGUUAAUCGGGGCAGGGUGAGUCGACCCCUAAGGCGAGGCCGAAAGGCGUAGUCGAUGGGAAACAGGUUAAUAUUCCUGUACUUGGUGUUACUGCGAAGGGGGGACGGAGAAGGCUAUGUUGGCCGGGCGACGGUUGUCCCGGUUUAAGCGUGUAGGCUGGUUUUCCAGGCAAAUCCGGAAAAUCAAGGCUGAGGCGUGAUGACGAGGCACUACGGUGCUGAAGCAACAAAUGCCCUGCUUCCAGGAAAAGCCUCUAAGCAUCAGGUAACAUCAAAUCGUACCCCAAACCGACACAGGUGGUCAGGUAGAGAAUACCAAGGCGCUUGAGAGAACUCGGGUGAAGGAACUAGGCAAAAUGGUGCCGUAACUUCGGGAGAAGGCACGCUGAUAUGUAGGUGAAGCGACUUGCUCGUGGAGCUGAAAUCAGUCGAAGAUACCAGCUGGCUGCAACUGUUUAUUAAAAACACAGCACUGUGCAAACACGAAAGUGGACGUAUACGGUGUGACGCCUGCCCGGUGCCGGAAGGUUAAUUGAUGGGGUUAGCGGUAACGCGAAGCUCUUGAUCGAAGCCCCGGUAAACGGCGGCCGUAACUAUAACGGUCCUAAGGUAGCGAAAUUCCUUGUCGGGUAAGUUCCGACCUGCACGAAUGGCGUAAUGAUGGCCAGGCUGUCUCCACCCGAGACUCAGUGAAAUUGAACUCGCUGUGAAGAUGCAGUGUACCCGCGGCAAGACGGAAAGACCCCGUGAACCUUUACUAUAGCUUGACACUGAACAUUGAGCCUUGAUGUGUAGGAUAGGUGGGAGGCUUUGAAGUGUGGACGCCAGUCUGCAUGGAGCCGACCUUGAAAUACCACCCUUUAAUGUUUGAUGUUCUAACGUUGGCCCGUAAUCCGGGUUGCGGACAGUGUCUGGUGGGUAGUUUGACUGGGGCGGUCUCCUCCUAAAGAGUAACGGAGGAGCACGAAGGUUGGCUAAUCCUGGUCGGACAUCAGGAGGUUAGUGCAAUGGCAUAAGCCAGCUUGACUGCGAGCGUGACGGCGCGAGCAGGUGCGAAAGCAGGUCAUAGUGAUCCGGUGGUUCUGAAUGGAAGGGCCAUCGCUCAACGGAUAAAAGGUACUCCGGGGAUAACAGGCUGAUACCGCCCAAGAGUUCAUAUCGACGGCGGUGUUUGGCACCUCGAUGUCGGCUCAUCACAUCCUGGGGCUGAAGUAGGUCCCAAGGGUAUGGCUGUUCGCCAUUUAAAGUGGUACGCGAGCUGGGUUUAGAACGUCGUGAGACAGUUCGGUCCCUAUCUGCCGUGGGCGCUGGAGAACUGAGGGGGGCUGCUCCUAGUACGAGAGGACCGGAGUGGACGCAUCACUGGUGUUCGGGUUGUCAUGCCAAUGGCACUGCCCGGUAGCUAAAUGCGGAAGAGAUAAGUGCUGAAAGCAUCUAAGCACGAAACUUGCCCCGA